rnacentral:rRNA from 1 species
AUACGGAGGGUGCAAGCGUUGUUCGGAAUUACUGGGCGUAAAGCGAGUGUAGGCGGCUUCGUUAGUCGGAUGUGAAAUCCCAGGGCCCAACCCUGGAACUGCAUCCGAUACUGCGAAGCUAGAGUCCUGGAGAGGAUGGCGGAAUUCCGGGUGUAGAGGUGAAAUUCGUAGAUAUCCGGAGGAACACCAGUGGCGAAGGCGGCCAUCUGGACAGUGACUGACGCUGAGAUUCGAAAGUGUGGGGAGCAAACAGGAUUAGAAACCCCAGUAGUCC